GACGAACGCUGGCGGCGUGCUUAACACAUGCGAGUCGAACGGAAAGGCCCUGCUUUUGUGGGGUGCUCGAGUGGCGAACGGGUGAGUAACACGUGAGUAACCUGCCCUUGACUUUGGGAUAGCUUCAGGAAACUGGGGCUAAUACCGGAUAGGAGCUCCUGCUGCAUGGUGGGGGUUGGAAAGUUUCGGCGGUUGGGGAUGGACUCGCGGCUUAUCAGCUUGUUGGUGGGGUAGUGGCUUACCAAGGCUUUGACGGGUAGCCGGCCUGAGAGGGUGACCGGCCACAUUGGGACUGCGAUACGGCCCAGACUCCUACGGGAGGCAGCAGUGGGGAAUAUUGCACAAUGGGCGGAAGCCUGAUGCAGCAACGCCGCGUGCGGGAUGACGGCCUUCGGGUUGUAAACCGCUUUCGCCUGUGACGAAGCGUGAGUGACGGUAAUGGGUAAAGAAGCACCGGCUAACUACGUG
rnacentral:rRNA from 1 species